rnacentral:misc_RNA from 1 species
UGGAGUGUGAAUGCACUAAAAUUAUAAAACAAUGAUGUUAUUAUUAAAUUGUUGUAUAUUAAAUCCUAUGCAUUUUUAAUUAAUUUUUACUUAUAAACUGUAAAUAUUUGAAAAUAAUAAAUAAAAAAUCUUUUAAACUUCAAUUUAAUUGCACAUGCUCAAUUAAAUUUGUGUACUUACCUUGUGUACUUACCUUUUAUUUGAACUUAAUUUUAUUGGACAAAAAAUUUAUUUUUAAAUAUAGUAGUUUUAACAAACUCCGCCUAAAUAAUUUAUGCUUA